GCAAAGUCAUCAGUGCCUGCAACAUGUUGAAGGCUUUGAUCAUUCAGUUGUCAAUUCCACGUUAGGGGCAUGUGGAGGUUUACCUCCCGGACAAGAAAAUCCUACUUUACCUUUUUCAGUCUGGCAAUGUGGGGAGAGCAAGAAAAUGAGCGACAUAGUUACUAUCAUGGAAUUCAAUUUCCUGAAAACAAUAAGCCCAUGUUCUGGAAAAGCUAAGGUAGAAUUUAUUUCACAUGGAAAAUGUCAUGGAUUUGUUCUUUGGAUCGACUGGGUGAUGGAUGCAGAAGAAUCCAUUGUCUUGUCUACAGGACCAGAACAAAGAUACUGGAAGCAAGGGGUAAAGCUUAUGAAGG
rnacentral:misc_RNA from 1 species